rnacentral:rRNA from 1 species
UACGGAGGGUGCGAGCGUUAAUCGGAAUUACUGGGCGUAAAGCGCACGUAGGUGGUUGGGUAAGUCGGAUGUGAAAGCCCUGGGCUUAACCUGGGAACUGCAUUCGAUACUGCCCGGCUAGAGUAUGGGAGAGGGAAGCGGAAUUUCCGGUGUAGCGGUGAAAUGCGUUGAUAUCGAAAGGAACAUCAAUGGCGAAGGCAGCUUCCUGGGCCAAUACUGACGCUCAGGUGCUAAAGAGUGGGGAUCACACAGG